GCACUGGCAAAAUCCAGUGCCGGGAUUAGUACCCCGUUUAUACAAAGGCGCACAAGUCGUCUGUUUUAUGCAUUACGGCUUUUUU
rnacentral:sRNA from 1 species